rnacentral:rRNA from 1 species
AGAGUUUGAUCCUGGCUCAGAACGAACGCUGGCGGCAUGCCUAACACAUGCAAGUCGAACGAGACCUUCGGGUCUAGUGGCGCACGGGUGCGUAACGCGUGGGAAUCUGCCCUUGGGUUCGGGAUAACAGUUGGAAACGACUGCUAAUACCAGAUGAUGUCUUCGGACCAAAGAUUUAUCGCCCAGGGAUGAGCCCGCGUAAGAUUAGCUAGUUGGUGGGGUAAAAGCCUACCAAGGCGACGAUCUUUAGCUGGUCUGAGAGGAUGAUCAGCCACACUGGGACUGAGACACGGCCCAGACUCCUACGGGAGGCAGCAGUGGGGAAUAUUGGACAAUGGGCGAAAGCCUGAUCCAGCAAUGCCGCGUGAGUGAUGAAGGCCUUAGGGUUGUAAAGCUCUUUUACCCGGGAUGAUAAUGACAGUACCGGGAAAAUAAGCCCCGGCUAACUCCGUGCCAGCAGCCGCGGUAAUACGGAGGGGGCUAGCGUUGUUCGGAAUUACUGGGCGUAAAGCGUACGUAGGCGGCUUUGUAAGUUAGAGGUGAAAGCCCGGGGCUCAACCCCGGAAUUGCCUUUAAGACUGCAUCGCUUGAAUCAUGGAGAGGUUAGUGGAAUUCCGAGUGUAGAGGUGAAAUUCGUAGAUUUCGGAAGAACACCAGUGGCGAAGGCGACUAACUGGACAUGUAUUGACGCUGAGGUACGAAAGCGUGGGGAG